UUUGGAGAUCUGAGGAAAUGAUCUGGACAAUUUUAAGACAGAAAUCCUGAUAUUUAGCUAGCAGUUAUUUUAGGUGUAAAUAAUCAAUGAUGUUAAGUAGAUUCAAUUAAAUAAUUGUUCAAAUGUAUUUUGCUUCCUUAGACAAAGGGUAGACAUAAACUAUACCACGUGGCAUAGUCUUUUUUGUUCAAAAAGGUAGUCAGUCUGUCUUUGAAAGAUCAACUUGACCUAAAAUUGUAAUUCAGUGUAUCUUCAUAUAAAAUUAUUAAAUUUUUAUCUGCAGAAUUAUUUUCAACAGCAUUGAUUGCAAUAGUUUUGCGAUUAUGCUUUCCUUUAGAUCAUAAGCCAAUGACUUCUUCCGUCUUACUUUAUGCAUAAUAGAAUUGUUAUAAGAGAAUUAAACCUGAGAGUACUUCCAUUAUUGGAAGAAUUUCUCCUGUCAGCUUUUUGUCAACUGCUUAUAAAACUGUAGAAGAAAAAUUAUUCUUCAAUAUACGGUUUUCAUUAUGCAUUAGAUGCCUUUAAUAUUCCUAAGUGCCAUAAUUUCACAUAUGCCGUGUGUCACCUGGUGUAUGUAAACAUGAAAUUACUUGGAGAUUAUUGCAUAGUUAUAUCAAAAUGCUGAGCAGAAAAAAAAAUGACAUCCAAUAUUCACCCAGGGUUUAGACAAUACAUUUUUGUUUGAUGUGAAAGCAUUCAUAAUUUCAUCACAGAAGAGCAUUUUUCAAUGGUGCUCCCAGAUUGCCUGUAAAAGAUAAUUCCUCCCUUGUGGACAGGCUUCUAUCUCAUGCCCUCCGCGUGCCGCUGGUUUAUCUGUGCAGAGAGGGACACCCAAAGGGGGACAGUGAGCCCACUGUGUCUUUUAGAACCCAAAGCGAGUUACUGCAAACCUCAGGCAAUUGAAGUGAAUAUUGGCUAGCUCAAAAGGCUGUGAAGAUGACCACCGUAUCUAUCUGAGUAAUUUUUUUCUUCUGUCUCAGUCUUGAAAUCAGGCAUGGUUAUUUUUAUUUUCGGUGUAUGCAGGCUUAACCUAUGUGCUUAUAUUCACAAUGAACUCUUGAAUCGGAUCCUCUGUGUUUUGCUGGGGAGUAUUCAUUCCCCACUUGACCUGCUUUGUUGCUCAAAACUUUGUAGCUCAUCUUUGCCUUCCCGUCUGUUUAUUCUUGGUGUGGGGUUGUCAAGGAGAAAUGUUGGAAGGGAGAGAAGGGAGCAGGCAUCAUAGAUGGUAUUACAGGCGGCUGGUCUCUCCUCUCUCAGCCAACUAUGAGAACUAUUUGGGAUUGAAGGAGAUAAGCUACAGCAAGUCGUUACUUGUCCUGAAUGCACGACCUUCUUUCUUUGAGCAAGAGGACAAACCUGGGUAGGGAUCUCUAUGAUGUUUUCUGCGUUGCCCGUGGACGUUCAUCUUUCUGAUUUGUUAGCUGAAGAUGAGGAUCUGGAGCAGGAGCUCGGAGUGCCAUUGUUCCAUGGGCAGAUGUGCAGCAGAGAUUAGCAUUAGGAAGACAAGCAGGGCCUUCAGUAGGCAUAAGGUGAUGAGGUUCAUGCCGUUGGAUCCCACGGGUGCCCUGGGGAAGAGAUGGUUGGGAAGUCUGAGAGGAAGCAGGAGAGCUUUCGGAGCACAUGGAUGCCGUCCAGAAUGGAGAUGGUUGUGGCUCGGAAGAAAAAGAAAUCACCCAGCUCGGAGUCAGGAUACAUUUGGAGGUCCAGGCCGCCGAGUUUGCUGGUGGGGAAGAUAGGCACCAGAAAGGAAAGAGGACAUCCAGGGCAAUUUCUUCUGCCCCCCAGCCAAUCCGUACAUUGUCCAGAGGCCAAGCCUACUGCUGUUAGAAAACAUAUUUAGAAAUCACUUGGUUCUUCCUUGCCUGAACAUCAUCUAUUUAGUUAGCUUGUGUUGUUUAGAUGUGCUUCAGAUCUCAAAAAAAUAAAUUAUGUUAUUUGAAA
rnacentral:lncRNA from 1 species